GGCGGGGUAGCUCAGCUGGUUAGAGCGGAGGCUUCAUAAGCCUCAGGUCAGCGGUUCAAGUCCGCUCCCCGCUACCA
rnacentral:tRNA from 1 species